GAUAAUCUGAGAUGCCGUCAUGUGAGAAGACAUGAAAAUCACUAAGCUUAACAGCACAAAUCACUAUUUUCCAAACUAAUAUCACUGAUUUAUAAAGCGGUUAUCACUAAUUUAUAAAACGAAUAUCACUAAUAUGUAUAGCAGAAAUCAUUAAUUUCCAUAACUAUAUCAAAGCUUUAACAACACCAAAAUCCAUGUCUGAGCUUUAAUCAUUCAAGACAUUAAGAGAGAGGUCGUCGAAAAAGAUUGGGGGAGGGAAGGAAAAGAUGGAGAAAGUGAUGACGGAGAAUGGACAGAUCUGGUGAUAGCGGGGAAAGAAAGGUGAUCUGAUGAUGGGGAAGAUGAAGGGUGGAGCUGGUGACGAUGAUGGUGAAAUCAAGGUCAGAGAUGGAUGGAUAAUGGUGGAGGAU
rnacentral:lncRNA from 1 species